rnacentral:lncRNA from 1 species
GACUUCAAACCCUGGUCAACACUCUCGUUGUGUUAAAAAAAAUUCUGAAAGUUGAUCUUGUCAUUUGCAAAACACAAGUAUGAUUUCGUAUUUCCAGUUCCUGUGUCAAACGUUUAAAACAUCGGACAUUUUAAAACUUGUGUACGCUUCAGAAUGCAAUAAAAUAUGACUAAAAUAGGAUUUUCCGUUGCCAUGGACGAAAUUUUCUUUGUUCUUUGUCUAAACCUUUGAAAGUGGCCAAUGACAUAACGAUAAACCAAUAAAAAUGUCUUAGUAUCGUCUCAUGUUGCGGGAUAAGCCUAUACGAGAUACGAGAAAUAUCUUUUUUGCGCAAAAAAUAAUAGACAACAGACCGCAACCAAAAGACAAAUAUUCUUCAAAUGUACAUCCUGUUUCGCUUUAACUAUUACAUAAUCAACAAGUGUAUAUUUCAGUCAAUCUCUAAACGUUUCGUAACGUUAAAGAAUUAUUCCAAGUGUAUAAAAUUUGCAUGUACUUAUACAUUUGAACGAUUUAUACCAUUUUUAAAGUCAAAUGAUUCCUACUGACACUAAUUCCUAGUUUCCCUCUACGUAGAUUGUUCCUUGAAUUCAUUUAAUAGCUAAAUCUUAAUUAGAUAUCAAGUCAGUGCAUUAUAAUUCUUAGAUCUAUUUUAGUGUUUAUUUUAUGUUGAAUAAGUUGUUAUUACUUAUUUAUUCAUACUUUAUUGCUGUAGACAUGAUUUUUUAAACUGAGUUUAUACCUGUAGAUUUAAAGAAUCUUUCGAUUUAUUGUCAUGUUUGAUAUUAAGAUUGUUCAUCUCAAUGUCAGUGUCUAGAUUACUAUCACACCUUGUUGCACGUGGUCAGUUACAGCAUUUCUUUCCGAAUACGGCAUCAUGAUCAUGUUGGAGUCUUGAGUACACUUCUGCUUUUAUUAGUUUAUCCUUUUUUGAAAAAUCGAUAAAACUAUGCAUUUUUAAAAAUGCUUUCAAAUAUUUGUGUGCCACAUCUUGAUACUCCAUCAUGUCAUAAUUUAUAACGAUAAUUUCUCGAUUAAUAUCAUACCUAUAAUUGUACCAUGCAUAUUUCCAUUCUUUCUUAAUCCACAUUUCCAUUUGAACAUUCAUAAUCCUCGGACAGCAAAAUUACGAAAUUCAGACUCGUCGACAUUAUAUCAAUUGUUUCCUCCUCACGUAGUCGCCCUAUUUGACAAUCUCGAUAAGGUAAAAACACACGAAGUUUUUCUUCUUGAAGAAAAGGGACAAAUGAUGACGUCAGCCAAUGUCGCAAAUAAACGUCAUUUUCAUUGCAAGAUAUGUAGAUAUCAUAUGCAUAUGCGUCUGAUGGAACUACUAUCCCUUUGUAGUACUUUAGACAUUUUCGUGUCAUUAUAAAAAGUUCAAAACGGAUCGUAUAUAUAAAAAGCGAUGAUACAGUUACAAUAAACACUGCCACGGCAAGUGAAAUGUUCAAACAUAAGAUAUAGUCAUUGUAAAGUUUACAUCCAAGUUCAUGUCUAGUCAUAUUCAAUAUGUGAACUUUUUCAU